CGCCUGGGGAGUACGGCCGCAAGGUUAAAACUCAAAUGAAUUGACGGGGGCCCGCACAAGCGGUGGAGCAUGUGGUUUAAUUCGACGCAACGCGAAGAACCUUACCUGGCCUUGACAUCCAGAGAACUUUCCAGAGAUGGAUUGGUGCCUUCGGGAACUCUGAGACAGGUGCUGCAUGGCCGUCGUCAGCUCGUGUCGUGAGAUGUUGGGUUAAGUCCCGUAACGAGCGCAACCCCUAUCCCUGGUUGCUAGCAGGUAAUGCUGAGAACUCCAGGGAGACUGCCGGUGACAAACCGGAGGAAGGUGGGGAUGACGUCAGGUCAUCAUGGCCCUUACGGCCAGGGCUACACACGUGCUACAAUGGCGCGUACAGAGGGCUGCCAACUCGCGAGAGUGAGCCAAUCCCUUAAAACGCGUCGUAGUCCGGAUCGGAGUCUGCAACUCGACUCCGUGAAGUCGGAAUCGCUAGUAAUCGCGAAUCAGAGUGUCGCGGUGAAUACGUUCCCGGGCCUUGUACACACCGCCCGUCACACCAUGGGAGUGGAUUGCACCAGAAGUAGUUAGUCUAACCUUCGGGAGGACGAUUACCACGGUGUGGUUCAUGACUGGGGUGAAGUCGUAACAAGGUAACCGUA
rnacentral:rRNA from 1 species